AAAAAAAAGAAUCAAAUGAAAAACUAGAGAUGACCGCCCGAUGAGGGUCAUAUGGCAACAAGUGAAUGAUUUUGGCGGUGAGAGUUGUCUGUCCUUGAAGGGCUCGAACGUGUCCCUGAGUCGGGACUCUCACUAACUACAAAUGACCUUAUCAUUUUGCCACACACCCACUUUUUUCCCGCGGAAAAAAAGUGAAGACAUCU
ensembl:ncRNA F11C1.11 ncRNA